GAGUGCCUCAAGCGUUAUCCGGAAUUAUUGGGCGUAAAGGGUGUGUAGGCGGCUUUGUUAGUCUUUCGUUAAAACCUCGGGCUUAACCCGAGAUCUGCGAGAGAAACGGUAAGGCUUAGAGAGUGCGAGAGGUCUGUGGAACUCAUGGUGUAGGGGUGAAAUCCGUUAAUAUCAUGGGGAACACCAAAGGCGAAGGCAACAGACUGGCGCAUUUCUGACGCUGAAACACGAAAGCGUAGGGAGAGAAUGGGAUUAGAUACCCCAGUAUUCUACGCUGUAAACGAUGUUCUCUGGCUUUUCGGAGUAUCGACCCUCUGAGAGGCGAAGCUAACGCGUUAAGAGAACCGCCUGGGUAGUACGGCCGCAAGGCUG
rnacentral:rRNA from 1 species